UGGGGAAUCUUGCGCAAUGGGCGAAAGCCUGACGCAGCAACGCCGCGUGCGGGAUGAAGGCCUUCGGGUUGUAAACCGCUUUCAGCAGGGACGAAAAUGACGGUACCUGCAGAAGAAGCUCCGGCUAACUACGUGCCAGCAGCCGCGGUAAUACGUAGGGAGCAAGCGUUGUCCGGAUUUAUUGGGCGUAAAGAGCUCGUAGGCGGUUCCGUAAGUCGAGUGUGAAAAAUCUGGGCUCAACCCAGUGAAGCACUCGAUACUGCGGUGACUAGAGUACGGUAGAGGAGUGUGGAAUUUGUGGUGUAGCGGUGAAAUGCGCAGAUAUCACAAGGAACACCAACGGCGAAGGCAGCACUCUGGGCCGGUACUGACGCUGAGGAGCGAAAGCGUGGGGAGCAAACAGG
rnacentral:rRNA from 1 species